UACAGAGGUCUCAAGCGUUGUUCGGAUUCAUUGGGCGUAAAGGGUGCGUAGGCGGCGCGGUAAGUCGGGUGUGAAAUCUCGGAGCUUAACUCCGAAACUGCAUUCGAUACUGCCGUGCUUGAGGACUGGAGAGGAGACUGGAAUUUACGGUGUAGCGGUGAAAUGCGUAGAUAUCGUAAGGAAGACCAGUGGCGAAGGCGGCUCACUGGGCUCCACCUGACGCUGAGGCGCGAAAGCGUGGGGAGCGAACCGG
rnacentral:rRNA from 1 species